AUACGGAGGGUGCAAGCGUUAUCCGGAAUCAUUGGGUUUAAAGGGUCCGUAGGCGGACUAUUAAGUCAGAGGUGAAAUCCCACAGCUCAACUGUGGAACUGCCUUUGAUACUGGUAGUCUUGAGUUAUAUGGAAGUAGAUAGAAUGUGUAGUGUAGCGGUGAAAUGCAUAGAUAUUACACAGAAUAUCGAUUGCGAAGGCAGUCUACUACGUAUAUACUGACGCUAAGGGACGAAAGCGUGGGGAGCGAACAGGAUUAGAAACCCCAGUAGUCC
rnacentral:rRNA from 1 species